UUUAACUCAAAGAUAUUGUGCUAUUAAAACAGGAAAUUUUAUGCGAUAGAAACACAGUCUGGGGAGUCGGCACCCUGCUGAAUUGUAGUAAACGAGACGUCCAAUCUACUAGACCAUCAAAGACGCAGAUUUGGAUUUUCUAUUUCAUAGUUAUUGAAAUCAUAAUGAGAAUGAAGUACUGCCACUAAGUCGUAUUGGAUAUGUUGCAAGGAGCUGUUCUCAAAACAUUGGGU